rnacentral:lncRNA from 1 species
CAUUUUGGGCUCUAAGUCUUCCUCAGCAACUGGACCCUGUCUAACUGCCAUUAUUAGCGCAGCAAGCCUGGCUUAAAGUGUAAUAAUUGCAUGGCCUCAUUUCACCCCAGAGAGAACCACUUGGGAAACAGCUUUGUAAAGACUAUUUUUAAGAGCCUCAGAAACUUUCUAUUUGCCACCUCUCCUCCUAUCUUGCUUGAAAUUUCUCUAGAUUUGACAACUAUUAACAGGAUCCUACAUCCCAUCUUGUUGCCUUUAAUAUUUCCAAGCCAGGGUUGAGACAUAACACCAAGCCUCUCUACCUCACUUGCCGUUUCUGAUAUAAUAACCUUGGGGAAGAGAGCAGUGAAAUUCUAGCCCUACUUGGAUAGAGAGCAUCUAGCAGGAGAAUAAGCAAAAUCAACGAAAGGAGAGUGGCCAUAGUGUACAGCUUUCUUGUCCAGAUGAUGAUUUGAGAUGCAACUUAAGGCCCCUCCACUGCCUUAAUAAAAUCAAACCAAGCAACCUAAUAUGGGGACCCAAAAGCAGGAUGAUGUCUACCUUGCAGAAAGCAAAUGUAUCCUGACACGGUUUACUAACUUAAAGUAUUUGGUAAAGUCGCCAAGACAGUCCUAAUUAUA